CACAGCCAAUGUGAUUUGGUGAUGGGAGCUGUGAGCAGUGCAGGCAUGUGGGAUUCAAGGGAUGCUGGGAUCUAUUCUCUCAUCACCUCUGUACCGUCCACAUUAUUGCCCUCAGGCCCUGUUGAAGAGAAUAUAAAGUAAUCUCAAAACGACAAU